CAAGUCGAACGCCCCGCAAGGGGAGUGGCGGACGGGUGAGUAACGCGUGGGAAUUUUCCUCAAGGUACGGAACAACUCAGGGAAACUUGGGCUAAUACCGUAUGAUGCAGCGAUGCCAAAGAUUUAUCGCCUUGGGAUAAGCCCGCGUCAGAUUAGGUAGUUGGUGGGGUAACGGCCUACCAAGCCUGCGAUCUGUAGCUGGUCUGAGAGGACGAUCAGCCACAUUGGGACUGAGACACGGCCCAAACUCCUACGGGAGGCAGCAGUGGGGAAUCUUGCGCAAUGGGCGAAAGCCUGACGCAGCCAUGCCGCGUGAAUGAUGAAGGUCUUAGGAUUGUAAAGUUCUUUAGCCUGUGACGAUGAUGACGGUAACAGGAGAAUAAGCCCCGGCUAACUUCGUGCCAGCAGCCGCGGUAAUACGAAGGGGGCUAGCGUUGUUCGGAAUUACUGGGCGUAAAGCGCGCGUAGGCGGUUUUACAAGCCAGAGGUGAAAUGCCUGAGCUUAACUUGGGAAUUGCCUUUGGAACUGUAUGACUUCGAGGACGAGAGAGGUGAGUGGAAUUCCCAGUGUAGAGGUGAAAUUCGUAGAUAUUGGGAAGAACACCGGUGGCGAAGGCGGCUCACUGGCUCGUUUCUGACGCUGCAGCGCGAAAGCGUGGGGAUCAAACAGGAUUAGAUACCCUGGUAGUCCACGCUGUAAACGAUGAGUGCUAGGCGUCGGCACGCUUGCGUGUCGGUGCCGCAGCUAACGCGUGAAGCACUCCGCCUGGGGAGUACGGUCGCAAGAUUAAAACUCAAAGGAAUUGACGG
rnacentral:rRNA from 1 species